rnacentral:siRNA from 1 species
AGAAACCGUUGAUAGAGAUGGUCU